rnacentral:rRNA from 1 species
GUGCCUAAUACAUGCAAGUCGAGCGGACAGAUGGGAGCUUGCUCCCUGAUGUUAGCGGCGGACGGGUGAGUAACACGUGGGUAACCUGCCUGUAAGACUGGGAUAACUCCGGGAAACCGGGGCUAAUACCGGAUGGUUGUCUGAACCGCAUGGUUCAGACAUAAAAGGUGGCUUCGGCUACCACUUACAGAUGGACCCGCGGCGCAUUAGCUAGUUGGUGAGGUAACGGCUCACCAAGGCGACGAUGCGUAGCCGACCUGAGAGGGUGAUCGGCCACACUGGGACUGAGACACGGCCCAAACUCCUACGGGAGGCAGCAU